CCAGAGCGCACCUGCUUCCCCCACUUCACCUUGGGAGAGGACACUUCAAACUGCGGACACACGCAAAAGCAACUCCCAGCUCCGUUUGAUUUACUCGUUCUUCAGCAAGUUGGCAAAACAGAUAUCAUGCUGCAAUAGAAAAGCUGCAGGCCGAUGCUCUUGCAACUGACGCAGUCACUGCAGCACUGGUGGAACUUGAGGUAU
rnacentral:lncRNA from 1 species